UACAGAGGGGGCAAGCGUUAUUCGGAAUUAUUGGGCGUAAAGGGCGCGUAGGCGGCUUUGCAAGUGACGGGUGAAAUCCCUCGGCUUAACCGAGGAACUGCCUGUCAAACUGCAUGGCUUGAGACCGGGAGAGGUGAGUGGAAUUCCCAGUGUAGCGGUGAAAUGCGUAGAUAAUUUGGGAGGAACACCAGUGGCGAAGGCGGCUCACUGGACCGGUACUGACGCUGAUGCGCGAAAGCG
rnacentral:rRNA from 1 species